rnacentral:tRNA from 1 species
GCUCACUUAGCUCAGUCGGUAGAGCACCUCCUUGGUAAGGAGGAGGUCGUUGGUUCGAUUCCAAUAGUGAGCACCA